rnacentral:misc_RNA from 1 species
UGCACAACUGUGGUACAUCAUCAGAGAAUAUAUUUCUAACUCUGAGGAACGUGACAUAGAUCCAGCAGAUCUGAUUUCCUUUCUGCUAGAGCUUAGUUUUCAUAUCACUGGUGAGGCAUAUAAUAUGAAUACAUUGACUGAGAUCCAGAGGCAUAUGAUAAAGGACCUUGCAGACUUGGGAUUGAUUAAACUUCAGCAGGGCAGGAAAGAGAGUUGGUUUAUACCUACUAAAUUAGCAACCAAUCUUUCAGUAAGCUUGACAGAUUCAUCAUCACGAAAACAGGGAUUUGUUGUUGUGGAAACAAACUUUAGGUUGUAUGCUUAUUCAUCAUCUAAGCUGCAUUGUGAAAUUCUGCGUCUUUUCUCAAGGAUAGAGUAUCAACUUCCAAACCUUUUUGUUGGAGCCAG